CAGCCGUAAACUAUGCGCGUUAGGUGUAUCGGUGACCACGAGUUACCGAGGUGCCGAAGGGAAACCGUGAAACGUGCCGCCUGGGAAGUACGGUCGCAAGGCUGAAACUUAAAGGAAUUGGCGGGGGAGCACCACAACAGGUGGAGCCUGCGGUUUAAUUGGACUCAACGCCGGGAAGCUCACCGGAUAGGACAGCAGAAUGAUUGCCGGGCUGAAGACUCUGCAUGACUAGCUGAGAGGUGGUGCAUGGCGUCAGUGACU
rnacentral:rRNA from 1 species